AUGAUUGGCGUCAUGUCAAAAAGAAUAGUGACAAAGUUCGUGUAUCGUCGAUCAUGUGAAAAAUGGAUACUCAAAUCAAUUGGAAGAGACUGGAGGAAAUUUAAGUCUAGUUUGAAAGAUGCUUUCUUCAAACCCGCCAUUGAAAAAAAUCCAAACAUCAAGCGAAAGGCUUUGUAUAAGCUCUGUCCAGAAGAUGUGGACGACGAUCAAUGGCGUGGGCUUGUUAAAUAUUGGAAGUCCAAAAAAGGAAGGGCCCUUGCUGAGAAGAACAUAAUUAGUCGUUCCCUCGUGAAGGAUUCACAUAAUGCUGGCACAAAGAGUUAUGCUUGUUGGGGCGAAGACAUGAGGCAAGCUGAUCCUGAAAAGAAACGACCACACAGAUCAAAGGUUUAUUUAGCAACUCACAAGAAGAAGGACGAUGCUGAUGCUAAAAAUAAAGAUAGAAAUAAGCGCCUGGAUCGAUUGGAGAAUCUAAUAACUGAACGACCAGAGUUGGCACAAAAUUUGAAUGGAAGAGUCGCAUGGGAAGGUGAUGCCCUGCAGGAAGUGUUAGGGAAAGAAAAGAUUGGACAAGUGCAUGGCAUGGGUUUGCUUCCAACUCCUAAGCAAGUCUACGGUCGGACGCCACGGUAUCUAAAGAACAUCAAUAUGACUACAACUGAUGGAUCACCAUAUGAAGUUGAACAUGACGUUUGGGAGGUAACAGCAAAGAUGAAGGAGCAUAUAAAAAAGCAAGACCAGAUUAUGAAAGAUAUGAAUAACAAAGAAGGCUAUGUCAAUAAUGGCAUAGAAGAGGAAAACCUCCAAUCAAAUGAUAAUGGUAUUUCUCGGUCACCAGUACUGCUUGGUAAAACAAAGAGAAUCCAGUCCAAUGGACCCGUUGAGGCACGCUCGUCUAUGCAACAUGACAUUCCUGAGGAUAAUAAUUUGUCACGUUCGCAUGAAAAGGUUGGCGACCAUGAUGUCAACCAAUUACAAAUUCAACAAAAUUCAUCAUCACCACAAGACCUUGUUAUUGAUUCUGUGCUAGAGGUGAGGGAAAUGAGGAAUAUUACGGGUGAAUCUGUUUCAAGACCGAACCAGCAAAGGACUAGAACUGAACACCCACACCGCUCAAAAAGAAGGCGUUCUUCUUCCAUCAACGCUGCUUCCAAAGUAGUCUUAAAGACUUCAACAUAUCCCAACAAGCGGAAUGUUGCGUAUGGUACUAUUCGGAGUACUGAUCCAAGAACUAAGGCUGGUGGUAUUGAGUUAGGUGCUGAAUUUGCUCUUGUGCGCAUAGACGAACCUAUUCUUGAUAAUGAGGAGUUGGUAAGGGAAGUUUCUGAUUGCAAGACAAUUGGCGAGGCUUUCACUUCAGGAUACUUAAUUGCCUGGCCUUCAGCUUUUAUUCGAGAGAAGGAUGGUUGA
rnacentral:rRNA from 1 species